rnacentral:rRNA from 1 species
AACGAACGCUGGCGGCAGGCUUAACACAUGCAAGUCGAGCGGGCCCUUCGGGGUCAGCGGCGGACGGGUUAGUAACGCGUGGGAACGUGCCCUUUGCUUCGGAAUAGCCCUGGGAAACUGGGGGUAAUACCGGAUGUGCCCUGAGGGGGAAAGAUUUAUCGGCAAGGGAUCGGCCCGCGUCUGAUUAGGUAGUUGGUGAGGUAACGGCUCACCAAGCCGACGAUCGGUAGCUGGUUUGAGAGGAUGAUCAGCAACACUGGGACUGAGACACGGCCCAGACUCCUACGGGAGGCAGCAGUGGGGAAUCUUAGACAAUGGGCGCAGGCCUGAUCUAGCCAUGCCGCGUGAGCGAUGAAGGCCUUAGGGUUGUAAAGCUCUUUCAGCGAGGAAGAUAAUGACUGUACUCGCAGAAGAAGCCCCGGCUAACUCCGUGCCAGCCGCCGCAGUAAGAC